GUGACCUCAAAUCAGGUAGGACUACCCGCUGAACUUAAGCAUAUCAAUAAGCGGAGGAAAAGAAACUAACAAGGAUUCCCCUAGUAACUGCGAGUGAAGCGGGAAAAGCUCAAAUUUAAAAUCUGUCAGUCUUUGGCUGUCCGAGUUGUAAUCUAGAGAAGUGUUAUCCGCGCUGGACCGUGUACAAGUCUCCUGGAAUGGAGCGUCAUAGAGGGUGAGAAUCCCGUCUUUGACACGGACUGCCAGGGCUUUUGUGAUGCGCUCUCAAAGAGUCGAGUUGUUUGGGAAUGCAGCUCAAAAUGGGUGGUAAAUUCCAUCUAAAGCUAAAUAUUGGCGAGAGACCGAUAGCGAACAAGUACCGUGAGGGAAAGAUGAAAAGAACUUUGGAAAGAGAGUUAAACAGUACGUGAAAUUGCUGAAAGGGAAACGCUUGAAGUCAGUCGCGUCAUUCAGGGAUCAACCUUGCUUUUGCUUGGUGUACUUUCUGGUUGACGGGUCAGCAUCAAUUUUGACCAUUGGAAAAAGAUUAAGGGAAUGUGGCAUACAUAGUGAUGUGUUAUAGCCCUUGGUUGCAUACAAUGGUUGGGAUUGAGGAACUCAGCACGCCGCAAGGCCGGGUUUUUAUUAACCACGUACGUGCUAGGAUGUGCUA
rnacentral:rRNA from 1 species